AUACGUAGGGGGCGAGCGUUGUCCGGAAUGAUUGGGCGUAAAGGGCGCGUAGGCGGCUUUGCAAGUCAGUAGUGGAAGUCCAUUUUUCAAGGAUGGAAGUGCUACAGAAACUGCGGAGCUUGAGUGCAGGAGAGGUUAUCGGAAUUCCCGGUGUAGCGGUGAAAUGCGUAGAGAUCGGGAGGAACACCAGUGGCGAAGGCGGGUAACUGGACUGCAACUGACGCUGAGGCGCGAAAGUGUGGGGAGCAAACAGGAUUAGAUACCCUGGUAGUCCACACUGUAAACGAUGAAUGCUAGGUGUAGGAGGUAUCGACCCCUUCUGUGCCGCAGUUAACACAAUAAGUAUUCCGCCUGGGGAGUACGGCCGCAAGGUUGAAACUCAAAGGAAUUGACGGGG
rnacentral:rRNA from 1 species